UACGUAGGGUGCGAGCGUUGUCCGGAAUUAUUGGGCGUAAAGAGCUCGUAGGCGGCUUGUUGCGUCGGAUGUGAAAGCCCGGGGCUUAACUCCGGGUCGGCAUUCGAUACGGGCAGGCUAGAGUUCGGUAGGGGAGAUCGGAAUUCCUGGUGUAGCGGUGAAAUGCGCAGAUAUCAGGAGGAACACCGGUGGCGAAGGCGGAUCUCUGGGCCGAUACUGACGCUGAGGAGCGAAAGCGUGGGGAGCGAACAGG
rnacentral:rRNA from 1 species